UACGGGGGGGGCAAGCGUUGUUCGGAAUUACUGGGCGUAAAGCGCGUGUAGGCGGCUUUUUAAGUCAGACGUGAAAGCCCUAGGCUUAACCUAGGAACUGCGUUUGAUACUGAAAAGCUAGAGUGUGGAAGAGGCUACUGGAAUUCCGUGUGUAGCGGUGAAAUGCGUAGAUAUACGGAGGAACACCUGCGGCGAAGGCGGCAUCCUGGACCGGUAUUGACGCUGAGGAGCGAAAGCCAGGGGAGCAAACGGG
rnacentral:rRNA from 1 species